AAUGGGUCAGCGACUUAUAUUCUGUAGCAAGGUUAACCGAAUAGGGGAGCCGAAGGGAAACCGAGUCUUAACUGGGCGUUAAGUUGCAGGGUAUAGACCCGAAACCCGGUGAUCUAGCCAUGGGCAGGUUGAAGGUUGGGUAACACUAACUGGAGGACCGAACCGACUAAUGUUGAAAAAUUAGCGGAUGACUUGUGGCUGGGGGUGAAAGGCCAAUCAAACCGGGAGAUAGCUGGUUCUCCCCGAAAGCUAUUUAGGUAGCGCCUCGUGAAUUCAUCUCCGGGGGUAGAGCACUGUUUCGGCAAGGGGGUCAUCCCGACUUACCAACCCGAUGCAAACUGCGAAUACCGGAGAAUGUUAUCACGGGAGACACACGGCGGGUGCUAACGUCCGUCGUGAAGAGGGAAACAACCCAGACCGCCAGCUAAGGUCCCAAAGUCAUGGUUAAGUGGGAAACGAUGUGGGAAGGCCCAGACAGCCAGGAUGUUGGCUUAGAAGCAGCCAUCAUUUAAAGAAAGCGUAAUAGCUCACUGGUCGAGUCGGCCUGCGCGGAAGAUGUAACGGGGCUAAACCAUGCACCGAAGCUGCGGCAGCGACGCUGAUGCGUUGUUGGGUAGGGGAGCGUUCUGUAAGCCUGUGAAGGUGUGCUGUGAGGCAUGCUGGAGGUAUCAGAAGUGCGAAUGCUGACAUAAGUAACGAUAAAGCGGGUGAAAAGCCCGCUCGCCGGAAGACCAAGGGUUCCUGUCCAACGUUAAUCGGGGCAGGGUGAGUCGACCCCUAAGGCGAGGCCGAAAGGCGUAGUCGAUGGGAAACAGGUUAAUAUUCCUGUACUUGGUGUUACUGCGAAGGGGGGACGGAGAAGGCUAUGUUGGCCGGGCGACGGUUGUCCCGGUUUAAGCGUGUAGGCUGGUUUUCCAGGCAAAUCCGGAAAAUCAAGGCUGAGGCGUGAUGACGAGGCACUACGGUGCUGAAGCAACAAAUGCCCUGCUUCCAGGAAAAGCCUCUAAGCAUCAGGUAACAUCAAAUCGUACCCCAAACCGACACAGGUGGUCAGGUAGAGAAUACCAAGGCGCUUGAGAGAACUCGGGUGAAGGAACUAGGCAAAAUGGUGCCGUAACUUCGGGAGAAGGCACGCUGAUAUGUAGGUGAAGUCCCUCGCGGAUGGAGCUGAAAUCAGUCGAAGAUACCAGCUGGCUGCAACUGUUUAUUAAAAACACAGCACUGUGCAAACACGAAAGUGGACGUAUACGGUGUGACGCCUGCCCGGUGCCGGAAGGUUAAUUGAUGGGGUUAGCCGCAAGGCGAAGCUCUUGAUCGAAGCCCCGGUAAACGGCGGCCGUAACUAUAACGGUCCUAAGGUAGCGAAAUUCCUUGUCGGGUAAGUUCCGACCUGCACGAAUGGCGUAAUGAUGGCCAGGCUGUCUCCACCCGAGACUCAGUGAAAUUGAACUCGCUGUGAAGAUGCAGUGUACCCGCGGCAAGACGGAAAGACCCCGUGAACCUUUACUAUAGCUUGACACUGAACAUUGAGCCUUGAUGUGUAGGAUAGGUGGGAGGCUUUGAAGUGUGGACGCCAGUCUGCAUGGAGCCGACCUUGAAAUACCACCCUUUAAUGUUUGAUGUUCUAACGUUGACCCGUAAUCCGGGUUGCGGACAGUGUCUGGUGGGUAGUUUGACUGGGGCGGUCUCCUCCUAAAGAGUAACGGAGGAGCACGAAGGUUGGCUAAUCCUGGUCGGACAUCAGGAGGUUAGUGCAAUGGCAUAAGCCAGCUUGACUGCGAGCGUGACGGCGCGAGCAGGUGCGAAAGCAGGUCAUAGUGAUCCGGUGGUUCUGAAUGGAAGGGCCAUCGCUCAACGGAUAAAAGGUACUCCGGGGAUAACAGGCUGAUACCGCCCAAGAGUUCAUAUCGACGGCGGUGUUUGGCACCUCGAUGUCGGCUCAUCACAUCCUGGGGCUGAAGUAGGUCCCAAGGGUAUGGCUGUUCGCCAUUUAAAGUGGUACGCGAGCUGGGUUUAGAACGUCGUGAGACAGUUCGGUCCCUAUCUGCCGUGGGCGCUGGAGAACUGAGGGGGGCUGCUCCUAGUACGAGAGGACCGGAGUGGACGCAUCACUGGUGUUCGGGUUGUCAUGCCAAUGGCACUGCCCGGUAGCUAAAUGCGGAAGAGAUAAGUGCUGAAAGCAUCUAAGCACGAAACUUGCC
rnacentral:rRNA from 1 species